UAUUUCUUAGACAAGUUGCAAAUGAGCUGUGUUUAAUUGCAUUGUGUUUUUAAUACUUAAUUCAUGUACAUGCAUUGUUGACAUGAUUGAUGAAUUCUAAGAUGGCGGCAUAUUAUUAACUUGUUGCAGUAAUUCUAAGACAUCACUGUUUCUAUUCUAUUGUACACCUUGUUUUGCAGUCUUAUAAGAACACAUGGUGGCAGUGUCAGUAACCAGCUCACUGAGAAAGUACAUUUUUGGUGUGUGUGUGUCUGUGAGGUCAACAAAGAGCCCAAUCCACAAUUGAGCUUGAGAUCUGGGAGAUUAGAGAGAUCAGUGAGAUCCAGAUUACAGUACACAUUCAGUUGGAUUUUAAAUGAGAAACUGUACAAGAUUAUGUAUAUGAUCAAGCUGAUUUUGAUAGAACUUUACAGCAAGUGUUACUUUCUAAAUAUACAAGCACUGAGAUCAUUUAGUUUAAUAUGAACAUUAAACCGGAUAGUCGAACCCA
rnacentral:lncRNA from 1 species